UCAAACUGUUUAAUUUUUAUUUUUAUUUUUAUUUUUUCUGUUUAAUAAUUUAUACUCGAUGUAUACGUGGUGAUAUAUCCCACCUUCGUUCCGGUGAUUCUGACACCCAUAUACACACGUUUGGUUUUCCAGUAUUCUUUCGGAUAUUGCCACCGCCUCGCCUCCUUUCAUCUUCUUCCGUCUCACCUUUUUUUUUCUCACUUUGCCUAUCGUACUCAACGGCUUCUCUUUGGAGUCGAUCACCACCGCUCCACCUUACAUCACCAUGGCUCCAUCAGCACCCGUCAUCUCCGACGUCACCCCACCUGCUCCCAAGAGAACCCUCCGACGAGGCCUCUCACGUACAUCUUUUUUUUUUUUUUUCCUUCUUAUCCUUCGAUCUUCAAUUGGGGUUUCUGCAUUCGAUUUGAAGUUCUUGAUUCUGUCAGAAGAAGCCACAAUCAAGGUUAGUUUUGUUUUCCUUAACAUGUAUUGAUUUUAUCAGUUUGGUAUAUGCGUUAAAUAUUGUCAUUGGCUUUCGUGACUUCUCCCACCGCUCCCUCCGCCAAUCCUUUUCUUCCACUAAACAUCACCAAUACCAACACCGAUUGGGAAUUUCUGUCGCAUCUCCACACCGUCUUCUCCUCCUCAUAUUUCAUCUUCCUUCACUUCUAUCCACUUCUCCGCCCAGUUCGAUUACACUAUGAUUUUGAUUGUUGAUAUUACGAGGGCAAGAUUGAAUAUAACAGUCAAGACCCUUACCCCGGAGGCGGCGACAACUUUGAACCAUUCAAGAGCAGAAGUUGGCCGUUGAUCAGACAAGCUCUAACAGGGUUCAAACGAAGGAAUUUAUUUCAAAUUACAAAUGAAGACAUCAACUAUUUGUGCCACCAGGUAAGUAAUUGUUAACAGCGCUUAUUUCUUUUGUUUUAAGCAAGUGGUGGCUUGAAUCAACAAAGGACAUCCGAAAUUUAAUAUAUGUGUCUAGAUAAACAAUGGCCGUUUUGACAGCAAUUCAGGAGACGGGUCUGAAUCUGAAAAGGUAAAUAUUCCAAUGUUGUUUUUAAUCGAUUAAACGGAUUAAUAGUGUAUUGUAUGUAUACUAUUUCUUGGCUAUAUGACAUUAAUACAUAACUAAACUUCAAGCAAUCAUAUCUGUAAAGGGGUUAUUCAUGAAUGUAAAAAGUGUAGUGGCAUGUCUUCUAUGGAACAUUAUAGCUACAGCAACGGCGUGGAUUAAAGAAGAAUAUCCAAAGAAUUGCUUUCUUGAUCUUACUUCAUAUAUGGAGUUCCACUUGGCUACGUGUUGUGGUAUCACCGUAUUUAUCGUGUAUUCAGUUAAAUUCUUUUUUUCUUCAAAUUUUUUCAAUUCAAGCAACCAUUUCUUAACUAUUAGUCAAGUUUGUAAUAUAAUUUUCAUUAAUUAAUGACAAAGAGGGGUAUAAUUUUUGCUGUAAAUUUCAGACUUAAAUGUUAGGUUAGGUUCAACUUAUUCAUAUCAGGUCUGAAUCCAAGAGCAGGUAAAGUGCUUACAUUUUAUGUAUUCCUGGAACUAAUUUGUUUUUCAUUUUUCGUAAGGAUGAUGGAUUUGAUUUAAAUAGUAUAAUCAUAGUCUGAUUUGGAACUGAUUCUGAUGAGAUAAUAUGCCUAAAGAAGAGCCCCAAAGGUUACCAAUAAUUACUAGACAUCUAUUUUUCUCCACAAACCUUCCUUAUCCUCCUGAUAUAAAUUAAAUAUAGUGUAAUCAUAGUCUGAUUUGGAACUGAUAUGGUUUCGACUUUGAUUGCAGGGGCAUCUUAUACUGUGCUUGCUAAAUUAUUGUUAAUUACUACAGAGAAAAUGAUUAAUGUAGCAUCUUAUAUGUAGUACCAUACAUGGUGAUAAGUGUGUUGGAGAUAAAUAUAUGAAUGGUUGAAAUACAAAAGUCGGAAGUGCUGAUAAAAUAAUGGGAGUUGAAGAAGGAAAUUCCACUCCUGUAUAUUAGAGGGUAUACCUAAUGCAUUUGACUUAGCAGACUGUUUUCUUCAAAACCCACUCUUUAAAUUGUGACUUAUUGUUCCUA